GUGCUUACCCCGGGGGAAGCGGCGGACAUGUUGAUGAGGGACUUUAUGAAAGACUGAAUGUUUUAGAGAUAUGAUAUAUUAAUGAUAAUUAUAUAUAUUUUGAUUUAUGAGUCUUAAAGCAAUUCCAGUUUGUUUGGAGUGUUGAAUUUGGAUGCUGCUCUGUGUGUUUGUCAUAUUAUGCCAGCAGUCAAGAACUAUAAUUAACUCAAUAGUUGCAUGGCUAUGUACAUAUAUAUACCUACAAUUUGAAAUAAUAAUACAUUGUAUUGGUUUUUAUUUUAAAAUGUACAUGUAUAUCAGUUCAGAGAGCUGUGUUGUGCUAAUCCCGCACUGUGUGUGGAGUUUUUAAACUGAAAAAUAUUGACACACGUUAUUAAAACACAGAGUUAGGUG
rnacentral:misc_RNA from 1 species